rnacentral:rRNA from 1 species
UGUGCGUUUAUGCACGUGGUAGGAGAGCGUUCUAGCGGCGGUGAAGCAUGACUGAGAAGACAUGUGGAGCUCUAGAAGUGAGAAUGCCGGUAUGAGUAACGAAAGACAGGUGAGAAUCCUGUCCGCCGCAAGACUAAGGUUUCCUGGGGCAGGCUCGUCCGCCCAGGGUAAGUCGGGACCUAAGGCGAGGCCGAGAGGCGUAGUCGAUGGACAACAGGUUGAAAUUCCUGUACUGCACCGAAUCGUUAUGAGCGAUGGAGGGACGCAGGAGGCUAGCAGCGCGUGGUGCUGGAUACCACGUUCAAGCGUCAAGUCUGAGAGCGAGUCAAAUGCUUGCUCUCAUCGAGUCAAAUGCUUGCUCUCAUAAGGACAAGGCGUGAUGAGGAGCGAAAUUAAAGUAGCGAAGGCUGCGACGUCACACUGCCGAGAAAAGCUUCUAGCCAGAGACGGUGCACCCGUACCGCAAACCGACACAGGUAGUCGAGGAGAGUAUCCUCAGGUGAGCGAGAGAACUCUCGUUAAGGAACUCGGCAAAAUGGCCCCGUAACUUCGGGAGAAGGGGCGCUGGUCGCAAGAUCAGCCGCAGUGAAAAGGCCCAAGCAA